ACACACACACACACACACACACACACACUAUAUAUAUAUAUAUAUAUAUAUAUAUAGUGUGUGUGUGUGUGUGUGUGUGU
rnacentral:miRNA from 1 species